AGCGAAAUGGCGCAGAGGACUAGCGCGUUGGGCUCAUAACCCAAAGGUCGAUGGAUCGAAACCAUCUUUCGCUA